GGGCGAGUGGCGGAAUCGGCAUACGCGACAGACUUAAAAUCUGUUGAAACCUAGUUUCAUGAGGGUUCAAGUCCCUCCUCGCCCACCA
rnacentral:tRNA from 1 species